AUUGAACGCUGGCGGCAUGCCUUACACAUGCAAGUCGAACGGCAGCACGGGAGCAAUCCUGGUGGCGAGUGGCGAACGGGUGAGUAAUAUAUCGGAACGUGCCCAGUCGUGGGGGAUAACGUAGCGAAAGCUACGCUAAUACCGCAUACGAUCUAUGGAUGAAAGCGGGGGAUCGCAAGACCUCGCGCGAUUGGAGCGGCCGAUAUCAGAUUAGGUAGUUGGUGGGGUAAAAGCCUACCAAGCCUUCGAUCUGUAGCUGGUCUGAGAGGACGACCAGCCACACUGGAACUGAGACACGGUCCAGACUCCUACGGGAGGCAGCAGUGGGGAAUUUUGGACAAUGGGCGCAAGCCUGAUCCAGCAAUGCCGCGUGCAGGAUGAAGGCCUCGGUUGUAAGACACUUCUAGUGGGA
rnacentral:rRNA from 1 species